AAUGAACGUUGGCGGCGUGGAUUAGGCAUGCAAGUCGCGCGAGAAGUCAUUUAGCUUGCUAAAAGACGGACAGCGGCGGAAGGGAGAGUAACGCGUGGUUAUGUACCCUCGAGACCGGGAUAGUGUCGGGAAACUGGCAGUAAUACCGGAUAACAUCUUCGGAUCAAAUGGUGUGAUUCCGCUCGAGGAUCGGACCGCGUACUAUUAGCUAGUUGGAGGGGUAAUGGCCCACCAAGGCUUAGAUGGUUACCGGGUGUGAGAGCAUGGCCCGGCUCACUGGGACUGAGACACUGCCCAGACAUCUACGGAUGGCUGCAGUCGAGAAUCUUCGGCAAUGGACGAAAGUCUGACCGAGCGACGCCGCGUGCGGGAUGAAGGCCUUCGGGUUGUAAACCGCUGUCAGUUAGGAGGAAAUCCAUGAGGGUUCUCUCUCAUGGUUGACCGAUUUUCAGAGGAAGGACGGGCUAAGUUCGUGCCAGCAGCCGCAGUAAUAC
rnacentral:rRNA from 1 species